UCGUGCUACACGGGGAGCUAGCGAUACCCUGAACCUGCAAUCGCUAUAGCAGGGUGGACAGCCUAUCGUGAGGCUUGAUCAGUUACGGUCGGCGGUCUUGUAUGAUCGAUGAAAAUUGGGUCUGAUGCGGCGAAAGCUGGUGAACCUUGUCAGGGCGGGAACGCAGCAGCAAUAAGCCAAAACUUUCGGGUGUUGUCAGAGUGCUCGGUUGGAGGUCAUAUAAAUCGUACCACGUAACUGGUUCUGUCGAUGGUGGGGCACGA
rfam:Candidatus Melainabacteria bacterium RIFOXYA2_FTLL_32_9 rifoxya2_full_scaffold_1489, whole genome shotgun sequence.